rnacentral:rRNA from 1 species
AUUGAACGCUGGCGGCAGGCCUAACACAUGCAAGUCGAACGAGUGGCGGACGGGUGAGUAAUGUCUGGGAAACUGCCUGAUGGAGGGGGAUAACUACUGGAAACGGUAGCUAAUACCGCAUCCCAUCGGAUGUGCCCAUAUGGGAUUAGCUAGUAGGUGGGGUAAAGGCUCACCUAGGCGACGAUCCCUAGCUGGUCUGAGAGGAUGACCAGCCACACUGGAACUGAGACACGGUCCAGACUCCUACGGGAGGCAGCAGUGGGGAAGAUAGCACAAGUGGGGCGAGCCUGGUGCGGGCAAGCCGAGUGGAUGGAGAGGGCCUUCGGGGUGUAAAGAAAUUUCAGCUGGGAGGCGUUACCCGCAGGAGAAGCGACGGCGAAGUCCGUGGCAGCAGCCGCGGUAAUAC